UAGGCGUAAAUGAUGCGAGUUAAGUGGUGGGGGCAUCUACGAGAUGGCCCUGUGCUGUAGGGUAGCCGUUAAACUCGCUGCCGUGGGGAGUACGGUCGCAAGGCUGAAACUUGAAGGAAUUGGGCGGGGGAGCACCACAAGAGGUGGAGGCUGCGGUUCAAUUGGAUUCAACGCCGGACAUCUCACCGAGGGGCGACAGCAGAAUGAUGGCCAGGUUGAUGACCUUGCUUGACAAGCUGAGAGGUGGUGCAUGGCGUAGUCGUGU
rnacentral:rRNA from 1 species